rnacentral:rRNA from 1 species
GUCUAACCUGCCCACUGAAUUUUUAAAUGGCCGCAGUAUCCUAACUGUGCAAAGGUAGCAUAAUCAUUAGUCUUUUAAUUGAAGGCUGGAAUGAAUGGUUGAAUGAAAUAUUAACUGUUUCAUAUAAAUUUAUAAUAGAAUUUUAUUUUUUAGUCAAAAAGCUAAAAUAUUAUUAAAAGACGAGAAGACCCUAUAAAUCUUUAUACUUAGAAAAUUUUAGUUAUUUAGAUUAAUUAAAUUAUAAUUUUUAUAAGUAUUUUAUUGGGGUGAUAUUAAAAUUUAAUAAACUUUUAAUUUAUUUUAUACAUAAAUUAAUGAAUUUUUGAUCCAUUUAUUAUGAUUAAAAAAUUAAGUUACUUUAGGGAUAACAGCGUAAUUUUUUUAGAGAGUUCAUAUUGAUAAAAAAGAUUGCGACCUCGAUGUUGGAUUAAGAUAUAGUUUUAGGUGCAGCAGCUUAAACUU